rnacentral:SRP_RNA from 13 species
CAGCAUGCAGCCGCGGACGAGGCGUCGGCCGCAGGAGCCAUCGUCGCGCACCGCGUAAGGCUGGUAACCCAGCCGGCUGCUGUCGGUGCAGCCGGCGCGCGAGAAGA